AAAAAAGAAAAUAAGAAGAAGAAGAAGAAGAAUAAGAAUAAGAAGAAGAAGAAGAAGAAGAAGAAGAAGAAGAAGAGAAGAAAAGAAGAAGAAGGAGAAGAUGAAUAAGAGGAAAAAAGAAAAAAGAAAAUAAGAAUAAGAAGAAGAAGAAGAAGAAGAAGAAGAAGAAGAAGAAGAAGAAGAAGAAGUAGAAGAGAAG
rnacentral:lncRNA from 1 species